rnacentral:rRNA from 1 species
UACGUAGGGCGCAAGCGUUGUCCGGAAUCAUUGGGCGUAAAGAGCUCGUAGGCGGCCUGUUGCGUCCGCUGUGAAAUCCCGGGGCUUAACCCUGGGCGUGCAGUGGAUACGGGCUGGCUGGAGGCAGGCAGGGGAGAACGGAAUUCCCGGUGUAGCGGUGAAAUGCGCAGAUAUCGGGAGGAACACCGGUGGCGAAGGCGGUUCUCUGGGCCUGUACUGACGCUGAGGAGCGAAAGCGUGGGGAGCGAACAGG